CCGUGCAGCUGGGGAGUUAGCGGUGCCCUGUACCUGCAAUCCGCUAUAGCAGGGGUGAUGUCCGGUUUCGGGUUGGUUUUUCUAAUGCAGCCCUCUAUAAGUGGCGUUGACGUUUGGGUCUUACGCAAUGGGAAUUCAUGAACCGUGUCAGGUCAGGAAUGAAGCAGCACUAAGUGAAACCUCCCAUGUGCCGUGAGGAAGCCUGGGCUGAGCAAACUGUAGAGGUAACGGUUAGGAAAAUUGAUUCAACGCCGGAUGCACGG
rfam:Acetivibrio ethanolgignens strain ACET-33324 ACET-33324.Scaf27, whole genome shotgun sequence.